GACGAAGGGGGCUAGCGUUGUUCGGAAUUACUGGGCGUAAAGCGCGCGUAGGCGGGUUUCCAAGUCGGUUGUGAAAUCCCUCAGCUCAACUGAGGAACUGCAUCCGAUACUGUUUAUCUUGAGGACGAGAGGGGAGAGUGGAACUUCUGGUGUAGCGGUGAAAUGCGUAGAUAUCUGGAGGAACACCGGUGGCGAAGGCGGCAUCCUGGACCGAGAUUGACGCUGAGGCGCGAAAGCUAGGGGAGCAACGGG
rnacentral:rRNA from 1 species